UUGACCCUGGAGCACAUGCAAGUGAGUAUGCAGACAUGAGUAACGUUAAGCCGGGUGAAAUCCCCGGCCGCCGUAAACCCGAGGUUUCCAGGGCAACGUGUUUCGUCCCUGGGUUAGCCGGGACCUAAGCCGAGGCCGAGAGGCGUAGGCGAUGGACAUCAGGUUAAUAAUCCUGAGCUCGCAACCCUUAAACUGGGGGGACGCAUGAGAAAAGAUGACUAGGUUAUUGAAUUCCGAGUUGAGUCCACGGACUCAGCGCAUCAUUGGAUCGAGUGCCAAGAAAAGCCCCAGCGUAUGCUAAGCGACCCGUACCGCAAACCGACACAGGUGGGUGGGUAGAAUAUACCAAGGCGUAAGAGUGAAACCUGGUUAAGGAACUCGGCAAAUUAGCCCCGUAACUUCGGAAGAAGGGGUGCCUGCAGCGAUGCAGGCCGCAGAGAAAUGGCCCAACCGACUGUUUAUCAAAAACACAGCACUCUGCAAAGACGCAAGUCGAAGUAUAGGGUGUGACACGUGACCAAUGCCGAAAGAUUAAGGCAAGGGGUUAGCCGCAAGGCGAAGCUCUAAACCCAAGUCCCGGUGAAUGUCGGCCGUAACAAUAACGGUCCUAAGGUAGCGAAAUUCCUUGUCGGGUAAGUUCCGACCUGCACGAAUCGUGAAACGAGUUGGGCACUGUCUCAACCAGGCGCUCAGUGAAAUUGUAGUGGCGGUGAAGAUGCCGCCUACCCGCAGAAGGACGGAAAGACCCUAUAGACCUUAACUGUAAGCUGUCAUUGUUUCUUCGGUUUUAAUGCUCAGAGUAAGUGGGAGACGCUGAAGACGCCCUUUAGGGGGCGUCCGAGUCAUCAAUGAGACACCACCCUUUGAAACUGGAGGAUCUAACCCUGAGCCGUGAAUCCGGCCAGAGGACCGUGUCAGCCGGUCAGUUUUACUGGGGCGGUAUCCUCCCAAAGAGUAACGGAGGAGCGCGAAGGUGGGCUCAGCCCGGUUGGCAACCGGGUGUCGAGUGCAUGGGCAUAAGCCCGCCUAACUGUGAGACCAACAAGUCGAGCAGAUGCGAAAGCAGGCCCAAGUGAUCCGGCGGUAGAAAGUGGAAUUGCCGUCGCUCAACGGAUAAAAGGUACCUUAGGGAUAACAGGCUGAUCACGCCCAAGAGUUCAUAUCGACGGCGUGGUUUGGCACCUCGAUGUCGGCUCGUCGCAUCCUGGGGCUGGAGAAGGUCCCAAGGGUCCGGCUGUUCGCCGGUUAAAGCGGCACGCGAGCUGGGUUCAGAACGUCGCGAGACAGUUCGGUCCUCUAUCCUCUGUGGGCGUUGGAAAAUUGAGGGGUUCAGACCUUAGUACGAGAGGACCGGGUCUGACGCACCACUGGUGCAUCGGUUGUACUGUCAAGUGCAUGGCCGAGUAGCUAAGUGCGGACGGGAUAAGCGCUGAAAGCAUCUAAGCGCCAAGCCCUUCCCAAGAUGAGUUUUCCCUACAGGUUCGUGGAAGACCACCACGUUGAUAGGUCGCAGGUGUAAGUGCAGCAAUGUAUUGAGCCGAGCGAUACUAAUUACCG
rnacentral:rRNA from 1 species